rnacentral:rRNA from 1 species
CCAGCAGCCGCGGUAAUUCCAGCUCCCAUAGCGUAUAUUAAAGUUGUUGCAGUUAAAAAGCUCGUAGUUGAAUUUCUGGUAGGGUGCCAAUGUCCGCCGCCGUGCGUGCGCAGCGGCGCCCUUCCAUCCUUCUGUCAACGCUUCUUGGCAUUCGUUUGCUGGUAGCGGGCUCAGAUAUUUUACCUUGAGAAAAUUAGAGUGUUUCAGGCAGGCGUAGCCGGAAUACAUUAGCAUGGAAUAAUGGAAUAGGACUUAGUCUCUUUGUUGGUUCGAGGGACUGGAGUAAUGAUUAAUAGGGAUAGUUGGGGGCAUUAGUAUUUAUUAGCUAGAGGUGGAAUUCUCUAAUUUGAUAAAGACUAACUUAUGCGAAAGCAUUUGCCAAGGAUGUUUUCAUUGAUCAAGAACGAAAGU